UACACAGUGUAUACAGCAUGGCUGGGUAUGGCCAAUGAUUUCCCAAAUCAAUUAGAUUCCGAUUUACAAGGUCCCAAUUGCAUUACAUAUUCAAUAUCAAUUAGGUUACGGAAAUUUCAGUUAUUUUAACCCAGCCUAUAGUAGCACAACUGGGCAUGAAAAGAUCACCCUGACCAUUUGAGGUGUGUGUGUGUGUGUGUGUGUGCCAGCCAGUGAAAUGUUCACACUGGUGUAUGAAAUACCAUGCAUGUUACUUCCCUCUGUCUGCAGAUGCUGUAUGAGAUUGGACAAGCCCAGUCAAAGCCGUGCAGUAUAAAU